GAUAUUGCAUCAAUUCAACAUUAUUAUUCAUUUCUGGUGCGACAGCUCUCUCUGUUAGUUCGGUGCAUCUACCAGUGAUAAUGGUCAAAUGGGUCAAUUUGCUGAUCUCCACAACCAACUCCACAAGAAUGUUGGAAAGAAAUAAAGAUAUUUCAAGUCUUUGAGAAGGUGAUGGAAGAAAAAUAGUAUCUGGCAUGGCACGACAAUUGAAGGAGUCACAUACUUCUAUUUUGUAGCAUCACGGCAUCUAUUUGGUUCACAAAAGACAUUAUGACCAACAAAAAAUUGUUUGAGUAUUAAAAUAAACUCCAGAGAAUUCCGAGGUCUCUCAUCUGAUGUUAGAACUUCAUGUGGCCAAUUCAAAGGUACUUCCUGAGCUAUUAAAUUCAAGGAGUAGUUCUUCAACCUCUAUUUCUUUUCCUUCCUUGGCGAUUUCAUUUGGUUGCAUUGCGACUUUGGGUCCCAUGUUGGAUUCCAAAUAUGACUUGAAGAACGACCCAAGCAGCUAUGCCUGCAAGGUGUUCGCUGAAAUGCCCGAUAAGAAAAUUGACAUGGAAGUCGAACAUCCAGUGAUAAAUGAUUCAGCAAAUUCAGCAUCCCAUAUGUUUGAUGAAAUUUUUCAAACGAUUUCUGCAUUUAAGGGAGAGUACGGUGACCUUA